rnacentral:rRNA from 1 species
GAUGAACGCUGGCGGCGUGCUUAACACAUGCAAGUCGAACGGUGAAGCAGGAGCUUGCUCCUGUGGAUCAGUGGCGAACGGGUGAGUAACACGUGAGCAAUCUGCCCCGAACUCUGGGAUAAGCACUGGAAACGGUGUCUAAUACCGGAUACGACGCACGAGGGCAUCCUCUGUGCGCGGAAAGAAUUUCGGUUCGGGAUGAGCUCGCGGCCUAUCAGCUAGUUGGUGAGGUAAUGGCUCACCAAGGCGACGACGGGUAGCCGGCCUGAGAGGGUGACCGGCCACACUGGGACUGAGACACGGCCCAGACUCCUACGGGAGGCUG